GAUGAACGCUGGCGGCGUGCUUAACACAUGCAAGUCGAGCGGGCAAUUUAUCUAGCACUGAUUACUUCAAAUGGCUAUCGCCAGUGUAAUCAGGAAUUUCUACCUUUAAUAAGGAAAAAAAAGAAAUUCAUGUACGCAAAUAGUGAUAACACAUUUUAGUGGAGUGAUGAGUGCCGGAUAAAUUGCUAGCGGCGGACGGGUGCGUAACACGUGGGUAACCUGCCCCUAUCACUGGGAUAACACACUGAAAAGUGUGCUAAUACCAGAUAACAUAAGCUUUUGGCAUCAUUAGCUUAUCAAAGAAUUUCGGAUAGGGAUGGGCCCGCGUCUGAUUAGCUAGUUGGUGAGGUAACGGCUCACCAAGGCGACGAUCCCUAGCUGGUCUGAGAGGAUGACCAGCCACACUGGAACUGAGACACGGUCCAGACUCCUACGGGAGGCAGCAGUGGGGAAUAUUGCACAAUGGGCGCAAGCCUGAUGCAGCCAUGCCGCGUGUAUGAAGAAGGCCUUCGGGUUGUAAAGUACUUUCAGCGGGGAGGAAGGUGUUGUGGUUAAUAACCGCAGCAAUUGACGUUACCCGCAGAAGAAGCACCGGCUAACUCCGUGCCAGCAGCCGCGGUAAUACGGAGGGUGCAAGCGUUAAUCGGAAUUACUGGGCGUAAAGCGCACGCAGGCGGUCUGUCAAGUCGGAUGUGAAAUCCCCGGGCUCAACCUGGGAACUGCAUUCGAAACUGGCAGGCUUGAGUCUCGUAGAGGGGGGUAGAAUUCCAGGUGUAGCGGUGAAAUGCGUA
rnacentral:rRNA from 1 species